AGCUAUGGAACCCAAGAGCAGCACGGUAAACCUCCUUCCUAUGGUAUGCAUCCACAGGCUUUGCAUUCGCAACCUUAUAACCACUCCAGGGCUAAUCAACCUGGAGAAGUGCCAUAUCAGGGUCCUGUUCCAUCUACUCAAGGGUAUGGUGCUAGUAUGCCACAUCAGCAGCAAUACCCCUAUGCAUCCAGUGGGCAAGUGCAACAAACUUACCCUGCAUAUGGGUCUGCCACAGCUGCCGACGGAUAUAAUCAUCCACAAGGUGCUCCAGCUUCUGGUCCUGGGUAUCCUCAGCAAAGUGCCCAGCCUGUUCCUGGAUAUGGUCAGCCUGCGCCACAACAAUCUCUUGCUUAUGCUCAAGCAGCCCCUGUUGGAGGUUACAGUUCCUACCCUGCACAGCCCACUUACACUGAACAGCAGGCCACAAACACUGCAGGCUAUGGUUAUCAGGUACCAGUUGACCAAACAUACAGUGGUGCUCAGGCUUCAACGACUUAUAGUGCACCAUUUACUGGACAGCAAGCUUAUGCUCAACCAGCUCCAGCUUCAGCCCCAGCUCAGCCUGGUUAUGAUCAAUCCAUGACUCAACCUGGUGGUGGUUAUGCACCGGUACCUGCUGCUGCAGGUUAUGUUAAGAGUGUCUCACCUCAGCCUGGUUAUGCUCAGUAUGAUGCUACUAAUCAGAUGUAUGGUGCUCCCAGGUGAAACUUUCUUGUUAUAUGAUGAAAUUGUUUAAAGUGUUCCAAUGUUCAGAUUCGC
rnacentral:lncRNA from 1 species